rnacentral:rRNA from 1 species
GACGAACGCUGGCGGCGUGCUUAACACAUGCAAGUCGAACGGUGAAGGGACUGGUUUUGCUGGUCCUGGAUGAGUGGCGAACGGGUGAGUAACACGUGAGUAACCUGCCCCCUUCUUCUGGAUAACCGCAUGAAAGUGUGGCUAAUACGGGAUAUUCUGGGUCUGUCGCAUGGUGGGCCUGGGAAAGAUUGCGCCUUUUUUGGUGUUUUUGGUGGGGGAUGGGCUCGCGGCCUAUCAGCUUGUUGGUGGGGUGAUGGCCUACCAAGGCGGUGACGGGUAGCCGGCCUUGGAGGGUGGACGGUCACACUGGGACUGAGACACGGCCCAGACUCCUACGGGAGGCAGCAGUGGGGAAUAUUGCACAAUGGGCGCAAGCCUGAUGCAGCGACGCCGCGUGAGGGAUGGAGGCCUUCGGGUUGUGAACCUCUUUCGCCAGUGAAGCAGGCCUGCCUCUUUUUGUGGGUGGGUUGACGGUAGCUGGAUAAGAAGCGCCGGCUAACUACGUG